CGGACGGGUGAGUAACGCGUGGGUAACCUGCCUUGUACAGGGGGAUAACAGUUGGAAACGGCUGCUAAUACCGCAUAAGCGCACGGCAUCGCAUGAUGCAGUGCGAAAAACUCCGGUGGUAUAAGAUGGACCCGCGUUGGAUUAGCUAGUUGGUGAGGUAACGGCCCACCAAGGCGACGAUCCAUAGCCGACCUGAGAGGGUGACCGGCCACAUUGGGACUGAGACACGGCCCAA
rnacentral:rRNA from 1 species